rnacentral:rRNA from 1 species
AACGCUGACUGGCCGUGUCUUAAUUCAUGCAAGUAACCGCGGGGGAAAGGUAGCGUCGCGUACCUUACCUAUUUGCGGGACGGGUGAGUAAUGCUCUACGUAGAUCUGCCUAUUAGUGGGGGUACAACAUUUCUAAAGGAAUGCUAAUACUCGUAUACGCACCUACGGGGGAAAGCAGGGGACCUUCGGGCCUUGCGCUAAUAGAUGAGCCUAAGUCGGAUUAGCUAGUUGGUGGGGUAAAGGCCUACCAAGGCGACGAUCUGUAGCGGGUCUGAGAGGAUGAUCCGCCACACUGGGACUGAGACACGGCCCAUACUCCUACGGGAGGCAGCAGUGGGGAAUAUUGGACAAUGGGGGGAACCCUGAUCCAGCCAUGCCGCGUGUGUGAAGAAGGCCUUUUGGUUGUAAAGCACUUUAAGCGAGGAGGAGGCUACCUAGAUUAAUACUCUAGGAUAGUGGACGUUACUCGCAGAAUAAGCACCGGUUAACUCUGUGCCAGCAGCCGCGGUCAUACAGAGGGUGCAAGCGUUAAUCGGAUUUACUGGGCGUAAAGCGUGCGUAGGUGGCCAAUUAAGUCAAAUGUGAAAUCCCCGAGCUUAACUCGGGAAUUGCAUUCGAUACUGGUUGGCUAAAGUAUGGGACAGGAUGGUAGAAUUCCAAGUGUAGCGGUCAAAUGCGUAGAGAUAUGGAGGAAUACCUAUGGCGAA